CAAGAUAUACAGUGAGUCAAACAGUCUGAAAAGUGUAAAAAAUGUACUUUAAACCAGUUCUAAUUUAAGGUUGUGUACUUUACAGAGCAUUUAGAGUGUCUUACUCCCAAUUCUGAUUGAGUGGAGAGUGGUUGUUUUCUUGGAAACUCCGACUGGUUUUUAGUGGUCCUGGAACUGAUCUUGGAGUACGGUGCUGACGUUGAUGGCGAGCCAGACCCAGUGAGAACUCCUUAAGAAUCCUGGAGCAGUGUGGCCAGCUGCUUGGGGUUCAAGAAAAGAUCUUCAGACCUGACCACUCCCGUAAAUCAUUGGAUCCCAGAUAAGAAACAACCAAUCACAUUUUGGAAAAGACACUUUCAAACAAUCCCAAGUCUUGCACCUCAGGACCAAGUACCAAAAGACAUUUAACAUUCCUAACUUUAUUUUAUUUUAUUUUAUUUUAUUUUCAAAGAGCUCAACACCUUUGUCAUUUGCACUGGUUUACUGUGCCAUUGUUGAAUUGUAUUAAACCUGCCAGCUGUUCAACUUUAAA